rnacentral:lncRNA from 1 species
AAAACCGUUAUGUAUAAGCAUUAUAGAUAACGGUUUCAUACCGUUAUGUAUAGAAAAAAAACUGUUAACUAUGAUAGGAAAAAAACAAAAAAAAUACAAAACAUAACGGAAAAAUCCUCAUACAUAACGGUAUAAACCGUUAUGUAUAAUCAUUAUAGAUAACGGUUUCAUACCGUUAUGUAUAGAAAAAAAACUGUUAACUAUGAUAGGAAAAAAA